UACUGGAUUUUCCAAACGAAGACAGCUAUUAUUAAUCGCUUUCACGUCACUUGACAGAUGAGAGUCUCUAUCGAAGCAUUUAUUUAUGUAUGUGUUGACAGUCAAUGAAAAUCCACGAGAUAAAUUUUCCCCUUUAACCUACAUUCACUAUAGGGCUGUUCAGGAUCUUGUGCAUAUCGUCUUGCAUUUGUAUAUU